UCGAACAUUGAUGAUCUCUACAGACCUGUAAUGAUUUGUGAGGAUGAUCGCACCACUUUAUGAACAUCUAAGGGACUGAGUUCUU
rfam:Ipomoea nil DNA, scaffold: scaffold0865, cultivar: Tokyo-kokei standard.